UUUAUUGGAGAGUUUGAUCCUGGCUCAGGAUGAACGCUGGCGGCGUGCCUAAUACAUGCAAGUCGAGCGAAUGAAUUAAGAGCUUGCUCUUAUGAAGUUAGCGGCGGACGGGUGAGUAACACGUGGGUAACCUGCCCAUAAGACUGGGAUAACUCCGGGAAACCGGGGCUAAUACCGGAUAACAUUUUGAACUGCAUGGUUCGAAAUUGAAAGGCGGCUUCGGCUGUCACUUAUGGAUGGACCCGCGUCGCAUUAGCUAGUUGGUGAGGUAACGGCUCACCAAGGCAACGAUGCGUAGCCGACCUGAGAGGGUGAUCGGCCACACUGGG
rnacentral:rRNA from 1 species